AUAAACAAUGCCAUAAACGUUUUACAGCCAAAUUACAAGCAAUUAGUAAGGUGGCAUAGUAAUCCAUGCCUAUCAAAUAUUGUAGGCAAGAUGCCGGUUUUUCAGCAGUCAUAACAAACUUCCAAGACAUUGUCAGAAUGUCUUGGAAGAAGAUCUCAUAUUCUAUGUGGAGUCCUUCCCAGGAAUUGACCACAUAACUCAAUGUAAACACAUUCACAAUUACCUUUGAUUGAUUUGCUCUGAAUGAUUGUCUCAUGGGUGGUUAAAACAUUCUAGAGAUAUUUAUUUAUUUUACCUGUCCCAGAAUAACAACUUUUAUUUCCCCUCAAUCUCCAUAUUAUUAUUUGUAAACUAAAUGGUUUCUGCCACCAUUAACUUGGAACUAUUUGACCCUCCAUUCUUGUCUCUACAAAAACAAUGCAGGGACAUCUCCCAAAAGAAGGACAACAUGUAUAUUACAGAACUACUUUAAAAAUCAUUGCUAACCUGUAGGGUGUGUUUUGUGUAUGUUUCCCCCAUUAAAGGACCUAAAUACCG